UACGUAGGGUGCGAGCGUUGUCCGGAAUUAUUGGGCGUAAAGAGCUUGUAGGCGGUUUGUCGCGUCUGCUGUGAAAAUCCGGGGCUCAACCCCGGACUUGCAGUGGGUACGGGCAGACUAGAGUGUGGUAGGGGAGACUGGAAUUCCUGGUGUAGCGGUGAAAUGCGCAGAUAUCAGGAGGAACACCGAUGGCGAAGGCAGGUCUCUGGGCCACUACUGACGC
rnacentral:rRNA from 1 species